AGCGGCGAGCGAAGCGGGAAGAGCUCAAAUUUAUAAUCUGGCACCUUCGGUGUCCGAGUUGUAAUCUCUAGAAAUGUUUUCCGCGUUGGACCGCACACAAGUCUGUUGGAAUACAGCGGCAUAGUGGUGAGACCCCCGUAUAUGGUGCGGACGCCCAGCGCUUUGUGAUACAUUUUCGAAGAGUCGAGUUGUUUGGGAAUGCAGCUCAAAUUGGGUGGUAAAUUCCAUCUAAAGCUAAAUAUUGGCGAGAGACCGAUAGCGAACAAGUACCGUGAGGGAAAGAUGAAAAGCACUUUGGAAAGAGAGUUAACAGUACGUGAAAUUGUUGGAAGGGAAACGCUUGAAGUCAGACUUGCUUGCUGAGCAAUCGGUUUGCAGGCCAGCAUCAGUUUUCCGGGAUGGAUAAUGGUAGAGAGAAGGUAGCAGUUUCGGCUGUGUUAUAGCUCUCUGCUGGAUACAUCUUGGGGGACUGAGGAACGCAGUGUGCCUUUGGCGGGGGUUUCGACCUCUUCACACUUAGGAUGCUGGUGGAAUGGCUUUAAACGGUCCGUCUUGAAACACGGACCAAU
rnacentral:rRNA from 1 species